GCCAGCCCGCUCAAGAAACUCAAAGGAAUUGACGGGGCCCGCACAAGCGGAGGAGCAUGUGGUUUAAUUCGAUGAUACGCGAGGAACCUUACCUGGGCUCGAACGUAAGAUGACUGUAGGUGAAAGCUUACAUCUCUUCGGAGCAUUUUACGAGGUGCUGCAUGGUUGUCGUCAGCUCGUGCCGUGAGGUGUCGGGUUAAGUCCCAUAACGAGCGCAACCCCUACCUUUAGUUGCCAUCAGGUUAAGCUGGGGACUCUAAAGGAACUGCCUACGCAAGUAGUGAGGAAGGCGGGGAUGACGUCAAAUCAGCACGGCCCUUACGUCCAGGGCUACACACGUGCUACAAUGGCCGAUACAGAGGGCAGCUACCUGGUGACAGGAUGCAAAUCUCCAAAGUCGGUCUCAGUUCGGAUCGGAGUCUGCAACCCGACUCCGUGAAGUUGGAUUCGCUAGUAAUCGCGCAUCAGCCAUGGCGCGGUGAAUACGUUCCCGGGCCUU
rnacentral:rRNA from 1 species